GGGCGGUUAGCUCAGUCGGCUAGAGCGCUACCCCGACACGGUAGAGGUCGCCAGUUCGAGCCUGGCAUCGCCCA
rnacentral:tRNA from 1 species